UUUUCAAAUACUCCAGCCGCCGACCCAUUUUCCAUCCCAACUCCGGCCGCCUUCAUAACUCCGACCAUUGACGUGAUGACGACGACAUCAUCCUCUUUGUCCUUCCACGGAGUCGAAGUAAAUCAUUAUCGAUUUUUCAUCUUAUAAAGAAGUUGCUAAUACCUUGUCUUCAAACUCCAUGAAAAGUUCAAUUGAGCAAUCUUUAUCCAACGAAACACUUCUCUUCUUAUUAUUCUUUUUGUAUGGAAACGAAUUUUGUAUUGUUAUGAUGAAAUGAGCGGUGGUUAUGGUGGUUUGUGACUAUGCUUUAAAGGUGGAAUGAAUGUAUGUAUGGUAUAUAUUAUGUAUAUGUUAGUAUCUGUCUUAUGUAUCACAUAAUACAUAUAGUGACAUACCCACGGCAUACGUGUACAUACAACAACAUAUAAAUAUGUAUAUUAUUAUAUGUUGCGCGUAUAUCACGUGUAUGUCUUGUGUAAGUCAAUGUAUGUGAUGCAUAUGACAAAGUGUAUAUAAUAACAUACACAUGAUAUACAAUCUAUACAUGGAAAAAAUAAGUUCUGGAAGCCAUAGGAGAGAACUCCCUCCAAAAAAACUCUGGUGAACAAAACAUCAAAGGACAGAGUCGACGGUGGGAAUGGAACAACGACGAAAAAAGAAAAAAAAAACUAGGGGAGAGAAGCUCGUGCGAUUUUCUCGCGAAGCAUCGAUUGUCGGCAACAGAGUAGUGGUGGCGGGGCACCGGGUCAGGGAUGGAAGGAGGGGUGUUCAUGGUACGGCAUGGAUUUGUAAGGAGGAAGAUGAUCAUGAGCUUUCUGAAGUGCGAUGCAAUUAUGGGUUUUUAUUGCCUUUGAUGACCUCUUGGACCCCAAGGAACCCGGGUAGAAGAUAUUGGAGUUGUCCAUACUAUGGUGGUGCUAGAUCAUGUGAUUUUUAUCGUUGAAAGGAUGAUGAGAUUGAUCCAAGAUCCAAAUUUGUGAUUCCUAAACUAGUGAGAAGAAUUGGAGAACUUGAAACAUCAUUUGAAGCUUCCACAAAAGUUGAUGACAAGCCUACUAUGUCUACAAAAUCUGUAGAAAGCAACAUUGAUAUGGAAAGCAUAGAUAUUGAAAGGAUAAUUU